rnacentral:rRNA from 1 species
UACAGAGGGUGCGAGCGUUGUCCGGAAUCACUGGGCGUAAAGGGCGCGUAGGUGGUGGCUUAAGCGUGCGGUGAAAGCUCGGGGCUCAACCCCGAGUCGGCCGUGCGAACUGGGCUCACUGGAGCAUAGUAGAGGCAGGUGGAAUUCCGGGUGUAGCGGUGGAAUGCGUAGAGAUCCGGAAGAACACCGGUGGCGAAGGCGGCCUGCUGGGCUAUGGCUGACACUGAGGCGCGCAGCGUGGGGAGCAAACAGG